rnacentral:sRNA from 1 species
UUUAACCAAAAAAAAAAACUUGAACAA